AGUGAACGCUGGCGGUAGGCCUAACACAUGCAAGUCGAACGGCAGCCCAGUAAGAGCUUGCUCUUACGGGUGGCGAGUGGCGGACGGGUGAGGAAUACAUCGGAAUCUACUUUUUCGUGGGGGAUAACGUAGGGAAACUUACGCUAAUACCGCAUACGACCUACGGGUGAAAGCAGGGGAUCUUCGGACCUUGCGCGAUUGAAUGAGCCGAUGUCGGAUUAGCUAGUUGGCGGGGUAAAGGCCCACCAAGGCGACGAUCCGUAGCUGGUCUGAGAGGAUGAUCAGCCACACUGGAACUGAGACACGGUCCAGACUCCUACGGGAGGCAGCAGUGGGGAAUAGUGGACAAUGGGCGCAAGCCUGAUCCAGCCAUACCGCGUGGGUGAAGAAGGCCUUCGGGUUGUAAAGCCCUUUUGUUGGGAAAGAAAAGCAGCAGGUUAAUACCCCGCUGUUCUGACGGUACCCAAAGAAUAAGCACCGGCUAACUUCG
rnacentral:rRNA from 1 species